CCGUCUGGGGCCGUACUGACGCUGAGGCUCGAAAGUGCGGGUAUCAAACAGGAUUAGAUACCCUGGUAGUCCGCACAGUAAACGAUGGAUACUCGUGGUUGGCGACAGACAGUCAGUCACCAAGCGAAAGCGAUAAGUAUCCCACCUGGGGAGUACGCCGGCAACGGUGAAACUCAAAGGAAUUGACGGGGGCCCGCACAAGCGGAGGAACAUGUGGUUUAAUUCGAUGAUACGCGAGGAACCUUACCCGGGCUUGAAUUGCGCUGGACGUGUCCAGAGACGGACAUUUCUUCGGACCAGCGUGAAGGUGCUGCAUGGUUGUCGUCAGCUCGUGCCGUGAGGUGUCGGCUUAAGUGCCAUAACGAGCGCAACCCUUCUCUUCGGUUGCCAUCAGGUGAUGCUGGGCACUCCGGAGACACUGCCAUCGCAAGAUGUGAGGAAGGUGGGGAUGACGUCAAAUCAGCACGGCCUUGACGGGCGGGGGGACCCACGUGUUACAAUGGGAUAUACAGAAGGCAGCCACCCCGCACGGGGCGCUAAUCCCCAAAGUAUCCCCCAGUUCGCACUGGACUCUGCAACCCGACUCCUAGAAGCUGAUUC
rnacentral:rRNA from 1 species